rnacentral:rRNA from 1 species
UAAGGAAUAUUGGUCAAUGGAGGCAACUCUGAACCAGCCAUGCCGCGUGCAGGAAGACGGCCCUAUGGGUUGUAAACUGCUUUUGUACCAGAGAAAACCCCUCUACGUGUAGAGGGUUGAUAGUACGGUAAGAAUAAGCAUCGGCUAACUUCGUGCCAGCAGCCGCGGUAAGACGAAGGAUGCAAGCGUUAUCCGGAUUCAUUGGGUUUAAAGGGUGCGUAGGCGGACUUGUAAGUCAGUGGUGAAAUCUCUUUGCUUAACAAAGAAACUGCCAUUGAUACUGCUAGUCUAGAGUAUAGAUGACGUUGGCGGAAUAUGACAUGUAGUGGUGAAAUACUUAGAUAUGUCAUAGAACACCGAUUGCGAAGGCAGCUAACGAAACUAUAACUGACGCUGAGGCACGAAAGUGCGGGGAUCAAACAGGAUUAGAUACCCUGGUAGUCCGCACCGUAAACGAUGAUUACUCGUUGUUGGCGAUAUGACAGUCAGCGACCAAGCGAAAGCGAUAAGUAAUCCACCUGGGGAGUACGCCGGCAACGGUGAAACUCAAAGGAAUUGACGGGGGCCCGCACAAGCGGAGGAGCAUGUGGUUUAAUUCGAUGAUACGCGAGGAACCUUACCUGGGCUUGAAAGUUAACGACCGGUCCUGAAA